GGGCCGCCGCCCGCCUGCAUGCCCGGCCCCUGCCCAGACGCCGGCCCGGCCUCCGUAGACACUUCCUGUUUGUUUGAAAAAGAAAUCUUUAUUCGCGUCCAGCGCGGACAAGGACAGUGUCGUUCUCGAGAGAGGCCGCCGGAGGGCGCGAGACUCCGCGUGAUGAAACCGCGAGCGGCGCAGACGACCCUGACAGCUCACGCUGGGGCCGCCGGGAGGAAGCCGCUGGGCCGGGUCCCUCUCACGCUGUGACGUCAACUCAUGACUACACACCAGGGUAAAUCUGAGGCAGAAAUAUUCAACAGAGGUCAGCAGGGAGCCUCGAGUAAAUCUGAGAAGCCCCAGUCCAGCAAGUCAUUUCCUUCGGGAAGAAGCAGGGUGAAAAGGAGGCUUUGGGAAAACUCAGCCCAACCCAGGACAUACAGAGACUGACAUGGACAGGACUAAGUGCUAGAGAAGGCCCUGUAACUUUUAGGAGUGGCCUGGGACCAUAAGGAUUUGGAUGACAAAUACAUAGCAGAGGUAGUUAAUGCAAUCUAAAGACCAGAGGACCCAUCUCAUAAUAUUCUGGAGUGUGUAGAACCUGCAAGAGGUAUACACACUCCUAAUGA